AUCUUGGAUAAUCAUUUGUCAAGAGACGUUGUCACCUGCUAGAAUGUGAGCUCUGAGAGGGGACUCAGCCCUUUGUCCCCACAGCAAGUUUCUCAACUUCAGCACUUGGGGCCAGAUGAUUUCUUUACAAUGGGGACCUGCCCUGUGCACUAUGGGUUGUUUAACAGCACCCCUGCUCUCUCCCAGCAGAUGCCCAGAGCAACACUCGUCAAAUCGUGACAAUCCAAAAUACGUUUGGAUAUUGUCAAGUGUCCCCUGGGGAGCAAGAUCAAUGCUACUGGAAAAUUUCUAUCCUACAGCCAGACAAGGGCAGAUGCUGCUAAAUAACAAGAGGCCUGGCUCUCACUGGACUGCAACUCACUUCCAGUUAAGAUGCUUGCAGCUCACCCAGGUCAGAAGAGGAUUCCAAGGGAAUUAACCCCUUCUGAGCCCAAGGAAGAGGGCCUCAAACUUUCAAGCACAUCAGAAUCACAUGAGAACCUUGUUUAAAACUCAGGUUUUGGGCUCCCCGCUUGAGACUUAGAUUCUAGAGACAUUUUGAGCAGUGGUUCUAAAAGUAUGAUGCCCAGACUGACAGUAUCCACGUAACUUGAGAUCUUGGUAAAAAUGCAAAUUCUCAUGCCCCACCGCAGAUGUGCUGAAUCAGAAACUCUGGAGAGAAGGAAACUGAGACACAGGCUUUGUGACUUGCCCAAGAACAUGCAGCUAGCAAGUGGAAGAACAGGGACUCCCCCUGGAGCCCAUGUUUUUAACCACAAGGCCGUUUGGCUUCCCGGACAUUGUGCUCGGUGGCAAAGAACCAUUACGUGGCAGUUCCUCAAGAGAGUAUUCUGCAAUGGGAAGGAACAGACACAGAUGCACGCUGCAGAGUGGUCGACCCUUGAAACCAUCAUGCUAAGCGGAAGAAGACAGUCACCCAAGGCCAUGUGGUGUGUGGCUCUACUGACACAAAAUGUCCGGGAUAGGCAAAUCUAGCCACAGAAAGCAGACUAGAGGUAGCUUAGGGCUAGGGACAUGGGAGAAAAUGAGUGACUGUCAAUGUGUACAGAGCUUCUGCUAGGGGUGAAGAAAUGUUUUAAAUCGAUUGUGGUGUCGGUUGUAUACAUCUGUGAAGAUAGUAAAAUCCACUGAAUUGUGCACUAUAAAUGAGUCAAUGGCAUGGUAUUUGAACUAUAUUUCAAUACAGCUGUUAUAUCAUUAAAAAAUCUGGGGAUUGGCCGGACUCAGUGGUACACACCUAUAAUCCUAGAGGGUUGGCAGGCUGAGGCAGAAGGAUCACAAGUUCAAAGCCAGCCUCAGCAACCUAGAAAGGCCCUGAGCAACUUAGCAAGACCCUGUCUCAGAAAAAAAAAAAAAAGAGUAGGGGGGUGCAUAAAGUAAAAUAAAAAGGCUGGGGAUUCGGCUCAGUGGCUAAGCAUACCUGGGUUCAAUCCUUGGUACAAAAAAAAAAAAUCUCUGGGGAUUGAUUAUCUAAAAAUAACUAUAAUGCUUCUUUUCAUUGUGGUCCUGUAAUAAUUAGGUUAUCUACAUUGCUUAUUGCUCAAACCAGAACGCUAAAGGGGAAAGAGGAGGCUAUUGACAGUUACUGUGUGGUGAAAGGUGGAAACUGGACAUGCAGUCACUCUGUUAAUAAUAGACUCUGAGAACCUGCUGCUGCUCCAGAUGUGCAGAGGAAGAGGCUGGGGGAGGAGGCAGUCAAAACAAGCACACCAAACUGCCAAGAACGGAAGGGCAUUAUCUUUCUGAGGGGGAAACUUGGUCCUGCCUAUCAACUGCCUUUGAUUUUUAUAGACACUUUGCUCUAGCCUUCCCACUACACCAUUAGAAAUGUAUUCUAAUGAAAAUGAUCAUGAGUGUGUUAACAGUCUUGGAUACUAGGUAGAGGGCUUGGUUAAAUAAAGUACAGUGGAUUCAGAUGGAAUAGUAUUGGCCAUUAACUGUUGCUGCUCUCUAAGAAUAUAUGCAGCAAUAUGCAUAGAAUACUAAUUAUUUUUAAAAAAAUUAAUAUUUUAGUUGUAGUUGGACACAAUACCUUUAUUUUACUUAUUUAUUUUUAUGUGGUGUUGAGGAUCAAACCCAGGGCCUCACCUGUGCUAGGCGAGCACUCUGCCGCUGAGCCACAACUCCAGUCCCUAGAAUACUAAUUUUUAAAUGUUCUAGAUCUACUUUUAUAUAUCUACAGAAAAACAAUUUGAAUAUGUGCAAGUAGACUAUAGGUUUUCUUUUCCUCUAUUUUCUAGUUUCUGUAAAAGAAUAUGCAUUACUUAUGUAACAACAACAAUAAAAUUCUAUUUAUAGGGCUGCAAUUGUGGCUCAGUGGUAGAAUGCUUGCCUAGCAUUGCAAGCCACUGGGUUCGAUUCUCAGCACCACAUAUAAAUAAAUGAAUAAAAUAAAGAUCCAUCAAUAUCUUAAAAAAACUUAAAAAAAAUCUGUUUAUAAGAAAAUGGGUCCAUCCUAAAAUGAAGGAUUAUCACCCUAAUCUGGAGAAGCAGCUGAUUUAGGCAGGGCUCUGGCUCAAGGGUCUCAAUUGCUUCCAUUCAGGCUGUCUCUCUCCCUUUCUCUCCUGCAAACCAGCUGCCCGCUGCUAGUGUCCAUUGGAAGCUUAAGCUCACAGGCAGACCAGGCACCAGGCAGAAGCAUUCCCUGGAAGGUUGAAUUUUGGGAUAGGGGAUGGAUUCAGGAAGAGAGCUAAGACCAAAAGCCCCCUCACAGCACAGUGACACUACUCACUGUAAUACUUAAUAAACAUCUGUUGAAUGAGUGAG